rnacentral:rRNA from 1 species
CCUACGGGUGGCAGCAGUGGGGGAUAUUGCACAAUGGGGGGAACCCUGAUGCAGCGACGCCGCGUGGGUGAAGGAGCGUUUCGGCGCGUAAAGCCCUAUCGGCAGGGAAGAAGAUGACGGUACCUGACUAAGAAGCCCCGGCUAAAUACGUGCCAGCAGCCGUGGUAAUACGUAUGGGGCAAGCGUUAUCCGGAUUUACUGGGUGUAAAGGGAGCGCAGGCGGCUUGGCAAGUCUGAUGUGAAAGGCUGGGGCUCAACCCCAGGACUGCAUUGGAAACUGUUAGGCUGGAGUGUCGGAGAGGUAAGCGGAAUUCCUAGUGUAGCGGUGAAAUGCGUAGAUAUUAGGAGGAACACCAGUGGCGAAGGCGGCUUACUGGACGACAACUGACGCUGAGGCUCGAAAGCGUGGGGAGCAAACAGGAUUAGAUACCCCAGUAGUC